ensembl:snRNA U6 U6 spliceosomal RNA
GUGCUUGCUACGGCGGCACAUAUACUAAAAUUGGAUCGAUACAGAGAAGAUUAGCAUGGCCCCUGCGAAAAGGA